UAAUACGGAGGAUCCGAGCGUUAUCCGGAUUUAUUGGGUUUAAAGGGUGCGCAGGCGGGAUGUUAAGUCGGCGGUGAAAUUUUGCGGCUCAACCGUAAAAGUGCCUUCGAAACUGGCAUUCUUGAGUAUGGAUGAAGUAGGCGGAAUUUGUGGUGUAGCGGUGAAAUGCUUAGAUAUCACGAGGAACUCCGAUUGCGCAGGCAGCUUACUAAACCAUAACUGACGCUCAUGCACGAAGGCGUGGGGAUCAAACAGG
rnacentral:rRNA from 1 species